CGCCGUCGCCACCGCGCGUCCCUCCGCUGCCGCCCGCCCGCCGCGGUUCGUGCUCAGCCGCCGCCAGGCUUCCUGCGCCGGGAACCCGAGAGAGGCUCAGUACAGGUCUCAUCUCUCCUACACCUUUGUGCCCAGCCAUGUUGAGCCUCCACCCUGGUGCACAUGCCAAGGACCAGAAGAACUUCUCGCUGCUCCAAGGAUCUGGCCACUUUUGCACAAAUGUUAGCCCUUCAGGUUUCCUGGCCGUGGGCUGGGGCCAGCUCUGACUUCCCUCAGAGUUCUGGGAUUCAAGCUAAGCUCCCCACACUCAAGGGGCUGGGUGGACUGGGUGGUCAAGCCUAGAAUGGGACCAGGGAUGGGGAGAUUCAAGCUGGCAUCCACAGAACAUUUCUGGAAUCUGCUGAAAGGAAGGCCAAGGAGAAUAUCUCCAAUCUCUCUUCCCCUUUCCUCCCAUCCUUCUCUGAGAAGUCCAUUUAUCCUGAUUCUCUUACCCUCCAAUCAGGGCUACCCAGAGGCAGAGGCCCCAUGCUGGAAGUGACAUUGGCUUUGACUGGGUAGCCCUACUGUAGCUCCUUAGGGAGGGCCUCCCAUAACCUGGGGAGCUUCUCUUCCCUUCCUGAAGGAAGAAGUGACCAGAUAUGAAGGUGGCAGAAGUGGCUGUCCUGCCAAGAAAAGUCUACCUAGUCUCACCCCAGAAUCUUACUGGGGCAGUGGCACUGGUUGAGGCCUCCAUGCCCCCUCAUCCCAAAUUUCCUCCUAUUUUGACCUUAAACAUGGGCAUUCCCACUGGGAUGGACUGGGGUGAGCUGAGGGUGGUUCCUUUUACUAUCAAGAGUUGUAUUUUUGUAUUGUCCUCUCUUUUAUGCCAAGUAUGUGCGUGUUGGACUGUGCACUGGAUUUAUGUAGCAAACUUGAGUCUGCAAAUAAAGCAAAGUAACCAGCCACA